ACUGGAAUCGUAAUGCCGGUCGAGGCAGAGCAAGGAUGGGAAAAGGAUCUCUGAGUCUGAAUAGACCCCAAGCGGAACACGAGCCAAAAGUGUGAUGCAGCAGCAGAAGAGGCCAAUGCGAUCCAAGGCUGCAUCCAUUGGAGUCUAGUGUCUGAAUGCAGUCAUCUAUAUCUAUCUAUCUAUCUAUCUAUCUAUCUAUCUAUCUAUCUAUCUAUAUAUAUGUAUAUAUAUAUAUAUAAAGAGUGAUGGCAUGAGGGCAGCGGACAAAACAACAAAACUACAGGCAACACAACCCAUCAUCCACGGCUCUAGGUUGAUACCACAAAAAGAAAAGAAAAAUAAAGUCCUAAUUAGAGGGAGAGGAAUAAUAGUUUUUAUCCAAUUGCUGCCAGAUUGAAGGCUAAGCUCCGCCCACUUGGUCUCCUAGCAACCUACUCAGCCCAGGGGACAGGCACAGUUAGGCCUCACUUAGGCCUCUUCCACAGAUUAUCAGAUUUUAACUGGAUUAUAUGGCAGUGUAGACUCAAGGCCCUUCCACACAGCUAUAUAACCUAUUUAGAAUCUUAUAUUAUCUGCUUUGAACUGGAUUAUCUUGACUCCACACUGCCAUAUAAUCCACUUCAGUGUGCAUACUAAACAUAAAGACAACCACACAACAGACAUUCAAUACCACCACUACCUCAACAAUUUCUCAUCAACACCACCAGACAACGCCACAGCAACGCGUGGCCGGGCACAGCUAGUAUAUAUAUAAAAGAGUGAUGGCAUGAGGGCAGCGGACAAAACAGCAAAACUACAGGCCCUCCAACCUCGAAAUUUGACAACACAACCCAUCAUCCACGGCUCUAGGUUGAUACAACAAAAAGAAAAGAAAAAUCAAGUCCUAAUUAGAGGGAGGGGAAUAAUUGUUUGUAUCCAAUUGCUGCCAGUUAGAAGGCUAAGCUCCGCCCACUUGGUCUCUUAGCAACCCACUCAGCCCAGGAGACAGGCCUCACUAAGGCCUCUUCCACACUGCCUAUAAAAUACAGAUUAUCCGAUUUUAACUGGAUUACAGUAUAUGGCAGUAUAGACUCAAGGCCCUUCCACACAGCUAUAUAACCCAUUUAUAAUCUUAUAUUAUCUGUUUUGAACUGGAUUAUCUGGAUUCCACACUGCCAUAUAAUCCACUUCAGUGUGCAUUUUAUACAGCCUCAUAUAACCCAGUUCUAAGCAGAUAAUAUAAGAUUAUAAAUAUAAUAUGUAAUAAUUACUGUGAUAUAAUAAUACAGAACAAUAUAAUCUCUAAAAUCAGGACAGUAAAUAAAGAACAACGCUCUGAAAGCAUAAGCCACAGCAACGCGUGGCCGGGCAAAGCUAGUUAAUAUAUAUUUCAAUGGCAUCUCUGUCUAUCAUGGUAGUAGAUCCAACAUUUCUCAAUGUGGACAAUUAUUAUAUAGUUCCUACCGUUACACAGGCUACGUUUUCCCCGAUAUAAUUUAUACCUGAGUGAUACGUCUAGACAUGACAUCACUGGAAGGUUUUGUGGUCCGCGUACAAUAACCAGGAUGCCUAAUUGCUCUCCUUGGGGUCAGCGAAAGGGCCGAUUAGUGGCCUGGGGAGCAGGGAGGAGAUGACAUUUCUCUCCUCGCAGAUGUUCUGGGGGAAGGAUUUUAUAGUCGGAGGUUUUCUGCCAACGAGACGGAGGAGGCCCAACGACGCAAAGGCGAAAAAUCCCUGCGCAAGCGGUGCGGAGAGGCGGAGGGAGAGAAAAGUGACAAAUACCAUAGAUAAUCUUCCCUUCGCAAAACGGUUUCGGUGCGUAUGGUUCCUAUUAGAGCCGGGAGAGAGAGCCAACAACGGAGGGAUCACGCAGAAUCUCAUCUUCUUCCCCCGUUCGGGUGCGAGGCGAGUUUCUAAACAGAGAGAGAGAGCCUCAGCAAAAAGUGGAGAUUCAGCAAAAAGAGAAGGGAAGAAGAGGACAGUUGAGCCCCCGUUGAGAACGGCUUGCUAUCAAAUAGUGCUGGUGCAAUGAUAUGAUGAUUGUCAUGGUUGUGUUCUGUGUGUUAACUGGAAAAUGAAGUGCAUGAAGCCGAUUGGCUGAGCCUACAAAGACCUGGGAAUUGAUUCGAUACUGUUUCUGUUCUGCUGCCAUAGAACCAGUUUGAUUUGAUACUGUUUCUGUUCUGCUGCUGCAGAACCCGUUUGAAUCAUAGAAUCAUAGAAUAGUAGAGUUGGAAGAGACCUCAUGGGCCAUCUAGUCCAACCCCCGCUAAGAAGCAGGAAAUCGCAUUCAAAGCACCCCCAACAGAUGGCCAUCCAGCCUCUGCUUAAAAGCCUCCAGAGAAGGAGCCUCCACCACAGCCCGGGGGAGAGAGUUCCACUGUCGAACAGCUUUCACAGUGAGGAAGUUUGAUUUGACACUGUUUCUGUUCUGCUGCUGCAGAACCAGUUUGAUGUGAUACUGUUUCUGUUCUGCUGCUGCAGAAGUUUGAUUUGAUACUGUUUCUGUUCUGCUGUUGUAGAACCAGUUUGAUUUGAUACUGUUUCUGUUCUACUGCUGCUGAAAUUUGAUUUGAUACUGUUUCUGUUCUGCUGCUGUAGCACCAGUUUGAAAAAGUUUUCUCCACACAGAGACUCAAAGUAGCUAUGCAUCUAUUAUUAGUAUUAUAAUGUAUUAUAAUGUAUUAUUAUUAUUAUUAUUAUUAUUAUUAUUAUUAUUAUCAUCACUGAUACAAAGACAUAUUAUUAUUAUGGCUCUCCGUCUUAGAAAUGGAGAUGAGGAACAACCCCCAGAGUCGGACACGACUGGACUUAAGGUCAAGGGGAAAACCUUUACCUUUACCUACUGCGACCUUGUGUAAAAGCGCUCAAGACUUGGCUGUUUGGUUGUGCAUUUAAGUAAAUCAGAUCUAAUUUGCCAAAUAGUCACUGUUGAAUGUUUUUAUGUUGAAUGUUUUUUAUAUUGUGGAAUGAUAUUUUAAAUUGUAAGUCGCUCGGAGCACUCUGGUGGAGAGCGACUAAUUAAGAAAUAAAGUGGAAGUGAAGUGAACUGAAGUGAAAUAUAUAAACAUUAAAACAGAAUUAAAUAUUA